CAAUAGCGUAUAUUUAAGUUGUUGCAGUUAAAAAGCUCGUAGUUGGAUUUCGGGUGGGACGCAGCGGUCUCGCAUUGCGUUUGUACUGCUGCAGCCCUCCUUCUUGCCGGGGGCGGCCUGUCGGACUUCACUGUCUGCGGGUCAGAAUCGGCGAUGUUACUUUGAGUAAAUUAGAGUGUUCAAAGCAAGCUUACGCUCUGAAUAUAAUAGCAUGGGAUAACACGACAGGACUCUGGCCUAUCGUGUUGGUCUAUAGGACCAGAGUAAUGAUUAAGAGGGACAGUCGGGGGCAUUCGUAUUCCGUUGUCAGAGGUGAAAUUCUUGGAUUUACGGAAGACGAACAUCUGCGAAAGCAUUUGCCAAGGAUGUUUUCAUUGA
rnacentral:rRNA from 1 species